ACGACACAGUGGCAGACGGGUGAGUAACGCGUGGGAACGUACCUUUCGCUACGGAAUAGCUCCGGGAAACUGGUGGUAAUACCGUAUACGCCCUUCGGGGGAAAGAUUUAUCGGCGAAAGAUCGGCCCGCGUUAGAUUAGGUAGUUGGUGGGGUAAUGGCCUACCAAGCCUACGAUCUAUAGCUGGUCUGAGAGGAUGAUCAGCCACACUGGGACUGAGAUACGGCCCAGACUCCUACGGGAGGCAGCAGUGGGGAAUCUUGCACAAUGGGCGAAAGCCUGAUGCAGCCAUGCCGCGUGAAUGAUGAAGGCCUUAGGGUUGUAAAAUUCUUUCGCCAGGGAUGAUAAUGACAGUACCUGGUAAAGAAGCCCCGGCUAACUUCGUGCCAGCAGCCGCGGUAAUACGAAGGGGGCUAGCGUUGUUCGGAAUUACUGGGCGUAAAGCGCACGUAGGCGGACUUUUAAGUCAGGUGUGAAAUCCCGGGGCUCAACCUCGGAACUGCAUUUGAAACUGGAAGUCUGGAGUUCAGGAGAGGUUAGCGGAAUACCGAGUGUAGAGGUGAAAUUCGUAGAUAUUCGGUGGAACACCAGUGGCGAAGGCGGCUAACUGG
rnacentral:rRNA from 1 species